ACGGAAGGCAGCAGUGGGGAAUAUUGCGCAAUGGGGGCAACCCUGACGCAGCAACGCCGCGUGAAGGAAGAAGGCUUUCGGGUCGUAAACUUUUGUCUUAUGGGACGAACUUUGACGGUACCAUAGGAGGAAGCCACGGCUAACUACGUGCCAGCAGCCGCGGUAAUACGUAGGUGGCAAGCGUUGUCCGGAAUUACUGGGUGUAAAGGGCGCGUAGACGGGCGAGCAAGUCAGAUGUGAAAUACCGAGGCUUAACUUCGGGGCUGCAUUUGAAACUGUUUGUCUUGAGUGCAGGAGAGGGAAGCGGAAUUCCUAGUGUAGCGGUAAAAUGCGUAGAUAUUAGGAGGAACACCGGUGGCGAAGGCGACUUUCUGGACUGUAACUGACACUGAGGUACGAAAGCGUGGGGAGCAAACAGGAUUAGAUACCCUGGUA
rnacentral:rRNA from 1 species